GUGGUGACCGGGCCCUGCAGGACCAAGGCGAAGUUGGCGAGGAAGACGAGUGGCUCCACGCAGCCGCGGCACAGCACGGACCGGUGGGCGGGACGGAGCCAGGACUGAAUCUUUUUCCUGGGAAGCUAAUCUGUUUCUGGGGCUGGGUCAUGGCUCUACAGUGCCCUUGGAGGAGCAGAGAAGGAGGAGGAGGAGAUGGUGGAGGACCUGGGAGGCCCUUAAGUGCGGCCCUGUGCUCUUUGGUGCUCCUACUGCAGAAAUAGGGGCAGAAGGCUGUCAGAUCUCUAUCUGGCCCUGUUUUAUUGACUGUAAAAGAGAAUAGUACUACUUGACUUUCUUCCUUAUCAGUGCAUUUGUUGAAUACCCCUUGUAUGUUGGGGACCAUGGCCAGGAGAGGCCCUGGAAACACUGCAAUGUAAAGAGAAAAAAAAAUGUUGCCUGCCAUUCCAGUUCUAUAGGGAUCAAGCCAUUAGCAGCUAUAGUCACUCACCAUCCACCCUAGGACAGUAUACCUGAAGGACCUUCUGUACUUUGAACCCCACCCUUAGAUAGUUGAGAUCAUUUAGGGAAAAAUCUCAGUGAUCCCAGAUUCUUGUGUCUUCCCAUACACUGAAAAGUUGUUGUUGUUGUGUCAGUAAGUCGUGUCUGACUCUGCGAGUACUCAAAUCUCUUUGUGGUUUGCUGUUAAUUUUCUUAUGUUUGACUGUUUGUGUCUUUACCUGUUUUUGUUUUUGUUUUUGUUUUGUCUAUACCUUGAAGGAUGUGGAACUUACCUGCAUCCCCUGCAGUGGAAACCAGGAGUCUUAACCACUGAAUCACCAGGGAAGACCCUCAGCUAGAUGUUUUUCUUUGCAUCGGGUGACCGAUUAGUGGCUAAUGGCUUGACCCUUAUAGAAAUGAAAUGGCAGGCAACAUUUUUUUUUUUAAAUCCUAUUGUGUUUCCAGAACUCCUCCCACCCCACCCCACCCAACCCCCCAAUAUAGUCCUAGACAUACAGAAAAACUCACAUAUAUCCUGGUUUCUCUGUUGCCUCUUCAGAACUGUUUCUCAGAGCUCAGUAAGAAACUGAAUAAACCCAACUCACAGUUCUAAUGUGCGUUUUUUGCAAGUUGACAGCAAUGAGGGAACAAAGCCCUCACUGGGGAGAGGGGCGGUGUGGGCUGUAGUUUGUAGAAUGGUGGGGGAGAGACAUCAAACAGUCCUACUAAUCCAUGUAGGAUUUGAACUGCAGAAAGCGCUUUAGAGGAGACAAGCUGUGGGGCUCUAAGGGCACAAAUUCAGGAGCCUGGCCAGGUCUGGAAGGAGCUAAACCAGGAAAGGCUACCUUCCCUGACAACAGGGCAGCUGACUGGAUUUCUAGAGGCAAGCCUUGUGCCAUGACCCAUAGGCCUGAUUCUUGGGAUGGUGGGGGCUCCAUUUCUGGCCAUCAUGGCUAUGUGUGAGUUCGUUGCUGGCUUAUUAAUUAUCGCCUACCUCCCCUGAGCCAAAAGGAGCCCCAGGCUGAGACAAGGUAGAUGCUAGCUAGAUAUGGUAGACUAAGGGAUGCCUGUACCCCCAACAGCCAUCACCAUCCUCAGCUCUUCCUGAAGUGAGGUGAAAGUCACUCAGUUGUGUCCAACUCUUUGUGACCCCAUGGACUAUACAGUCCAUGGAAUUCUCCAUCCAGAAUACUGGGAUGGGUAGCCAUUCCCU